GACUCAGUUUAAAUAUUUGUUCAGGAUGACCAUCCAUACCUGAGACCUUAUGAAUUCUGCAGCUGACUUUCAGGAAAUUUCUUCAGGAAAUUUCUGCAAGAACAAAGGAGCACAGCUAUUCAGUGUGGAAGUUUCUUUGGCAGUUUUUAUCUGCUUAAUAGUUGUUCUGCCACUCGUCAGUGCUGAAGGCUAUGCUUUCACUGGGGUAUAACAAGAUGGUGGACUCCUGUCUGCACUACUCCAUACCACUGGUCAGGGUUCUGAAAAAAUGGGACACAGCCUUGACUGGCUCUCAGCCUGCCAUGCGGGAACAUGGAAGGAAGAGUACAGAUGGGCUAGGAGUGGACUGCUGGGCACUCUGGGAAUCUAUCCCCAACACAAGGUUUCUCUGUAAACCAAGAGGACAUUCUCAGACCAUCAGUCAGACAAUAUGCCAGUUGGAGCUGGCAUCUGAAUGGACUGUGACAGAUGCUGGAUUUCACUGUGUUGAUUUUAAAUACCAAGCAUCAGAUCUGGUCAGUAUUGAAGUUUAUCUAUCCUUGAUCUCUGACCAUUUAUCUCAUUUUAACAGUGUCUAAUCUGUCAGUAGUACAAAACCAAACUGGUUAAGUAGUACAGAAAUGUGUUGCAGAGUGCCUUAAAAGGCAGAAACAGCCAUUUGUGCUCUGAUUCUAUUAGACCUGAAAAACUAAUCAAGGUUAAGCCUGGAUAGGAAUAGUGGAGGAAAUUUCCAAGGAUAAGCUAGACUAAGAAAGGUAAUACUUAUCAAUUUUUGUCAUUAUCUCAAAUAUUAUGAAGAAAAUGUCAGUAUACUUCAGAUCAGAGACUGUUUUUUUAUUAUUAUUUUUUGAGUGACAUAGUGGUAAAAAUUGAAACCUGAAGACCUGUUUGCUUCCAUUGCUAAAAAAUACCACAGUAUAUAAAAUGUUUAUAAAAGAUAGUAUGUGUUCUUGAUCCAAAACUUGCAAUAGAAAGGCACAGCAGUAUUUCUGUAGAGUACAGUAAAUAAUUUUUUUAAGGAAACCCACAAAAUUGUUUUUGUGAGCAAUGUAGCUGAAAACCAUAAAGGGUAGGUGACAACUUACAUGGAGAGCAAUUGUCUUUUCUAGUAUCCUGAGCUCAUAUGUUGUCACCAUAUUCAAGGAAUAUCUGCAGAUUGCAGCUGCAAUUCAAUCUCAUUUAAUGAGAAAUUGUGGUCGCUGUUAUGAACUCAUGAAAAAUCGCUAAAUUUUCCAUCACAUACACAAUAAAAAUACAUCAUAAUGAGACUGAACA
rnacentral:lncRNA from 1 species